UAAAUAUGCUGUGUCAGAAAAUCCAUCUUCAGUCUGUUUGUGACCAAAAGACAACCUGGAAGCAAGAAAUGAAGAGAAUGUGGGCUGGACCAAACUGUACUUCCUCUUGUGGCCACUUGAGGCUGGCUCCAAAAGUAACAAGGAAAUGACAUACCUUCACAGAGCUUCCUGACUGGCAGAGCUCACUCUGAGAGUGAUUGCAGAUUAGAUGGUGAUAAUCUCCACAAGUGCCUGCACAACAUCAACUAUAAAAGGAAACUGAAUUUAAAGAAGACAAC